rnacentral:ncRNA from 2 species
AUUUAAAGCAAAAUGAGCGGUGUCGAAUAGACUUAAUAGGGAAUCUGGUAGAGCCAGAACUGCCCCCGCAACUGUAAGUGUGGACGAAAUGAGAUACCACUGUGCUUGUUGGUUAACGCUAACCUGCACGGGAAGGCUCAAAGUAGAGUGAAGCACGAGUCAGGAGACCUGCCGCCAUUUUAAAGUCAGC